GGUAGUAAAGGUCGUAACAAGGUUUCCGUAGGUGAACCUGCGGAAGGAUCAUUAUUGUAUAACCGAGGUGCGAGGGCUGUCGCUGACCCGAAAGGUCGUGCACGCCCGAGUGCCCUCACACACAUCCAUCUCACCCCUAUGUGCACCACCGCGUGGGUCCCCCUUUGGCUUGUUCGGAGGGGGGCUUACGUUCUCACACAAACUUUGUAUGCAGUGUAGAAUGUAUUUUUUGUCUUUGCGAUCACGCAAUCAAUACAACUUUCAACAACGGAUCUCUUGGCUCUC
rnacentral:misc_RNA from 1 species